rnacentral:tRNA from 1 species
UGAGACUUUAGCUCAGUUGGUAGAGCAUCUCACUUUUAAUGAGAGGGUCGAUGGUUCGAGUCCAUCAAGUCUCAA